AUCUAGUGAGUUAUGGGGGGUGUGGUAUAAAAGAAAAUGAAAAUAUUAUCAUUUACACCUAAAAACUGCCAGUGGGUAAUUUUUACCCCGCUAUAAAAACUGCUGUAUAUUGCUGCACUCACUCAGCAUUCACAACACGGCCAGUCGCCUAGCAACGCAUAUUGUUUACACGUCUUUUGAGAAGGUGGCUGCCAUAUCACCAGCUAGAGCAAGCUAGAUUUGGACAUGAGUGAUGGAGAAUUGGAUCGGGCCGGGGAGAGAUCAAUGACCCGUCAUUUUCAUCAGAUGAGGAAUCUUCAUCGUAGGGUGAGGAGCACCCUUCUCGCGCGUAUCAUCGCAGCGCAGCAGCCCUUAGACGCUGAUGUGACAGUGUCGGCUCAACCAUUGGGACGGAAGUGUCUACAACUGAGAGCACGUACUGGGAGAGCGUAGUCACAGCCUAUGUGUGUCUCUGUGUGUGUGUGUUUGAUCUGCAAUGAAGCCCCAAAGGCCAUAAACUGACUUUUAAAU